rnacentral:rRNA from 1 species
UUGAGCGGAGAUAUAUGGAGCUUGCUUUAUAUAACUUAGCAGCGAACGGGUGAGUAACACGUAGAUAAUCUAUCCUAUACUGGGGGAUAGCCCGAUGAAAGUUGGAUUAAUACCGCAUAUAGCUAUAUAGUUGCAUGAUUAUGUAGUGAAAGAUUUAUUGGUAUAGGAGGAGUCUGCGGCACAUUAGCUAGUAGGUGAGGUAAAGGCUUACCUAGGCGACGAUGUGUAGCCGGUCUGAGAGGAUGAACGGCCACAAUGGAACUGAGACACGGUCCAUACUCCUACGGGAGGCAGCAGUGGGGAAUAUUGCACAAUGGGGGAAACCCUGAUGCAGCAACGCCGCGUGAGUGAAGAAGGUUUUCGGAUUGUAAAGCUCUGUUAGCAGGGAAGAGGAAGGACGGUACCUGCAGAGGAAGCCACGGCUAACUACGUGCCAGCAGCCGCGGUAAUACGUAGGUGGCAAGCGUUGUUCGGAAUAACUGGGCGUAAAGGAUGCGUAGGCGGUUAAACAAGUUAUAUGUUAAAUAUAUAGGCUUAACCUGUAGAAAGCAUAUAAAACUGUUUAACUAGAGUGCAGGAGAGGUAAGUGGAAUUCCUAGUGUAGCGGUGAAAUGCGUAGAGAUUAGGAAGAACACCAGUGGCGAAGGCGACUUACUGGACUGUAACUGACGCUGAGGCAUGAGAGCAUGGGGAGCAAACAGGAUUAGAUACCCUGGUAGUCCAUGCUGUAAACGAUGGGUACUAGGUGUGGGUUGUGAAUAACAAUUCGUGCCGUCGCAAACGCAAUAAGUACCCCGCCUGAAGAGUACGAUCGCAAGAUUAAAACUCAAAGG